AUUGGGCAGUAGUGCAGUAUCAUGUUGGCGCAGUACUAUCGUUAUCGUUACCAGAUCGUUACCAGGUUUACCACAAUUCUCAACGUUCGUUUGCAUCAAGUGUGGUCCAGGUUUUUGGCGCUAUGACGUAACUAUGAGUCAACAAGAAGUUAUUUUAUUGAACCCAAAUUUUAGAUCUCAUGAUCUGAUCGUGAUUCAAAGCAAGCAUGGUAUACCGGUAUACCAUUCCAUCGAUCUUAUAUUGUGAUGAUAUAUUGAGCUAUGUGAUAGGCCUACUUGAAAAUGGCUAUAAACUAUAAUUUGAAAUAAAGUAGUCAUGAGACUGAUGCUGCUGGUGUUGGAGCGAUCAAGAGGCCAAGCCUAACUCUUUCGACAUUCAUAAAUCUUUCUAUUUAGCAGCCACCAGGGGCCUUUGAAUUUCUAUCCAUCAGGUGGCAACGACGGAUGUCAAUAACAAAUUUGCUUCCGUCAAAUGAUCCUGUGAGUCAACUCUAAUCAGCUGAGAGCCUGCAGACUGCAGGUGACUGUUUGCUUCCUGAAGUUUAUGUCAAAAUGCUUCGACCAGCAAUUUAUUCAGUUGAAACAUUUCAAGUUGGAUUUCACCAUAAACUUGUUACUGAUUUGGUAAUAGUUUUCCCCCCAUCCCUGUCUAGUACCGUGAUGAUAGGUGCCAUCAGGUAAAUAACUAUUUAACAAUCAAUUGUAUUAAAGAAGUUUUCGUUUUCUUGUACAAGUAAAAAACAAAUAUUAACUUUGACAAUCUAUUAUUAAUCUUCAAUUCAUGCUUAGAUGUGUUUGCACCAUAUUUUACUUUGCAUCACAAAUUUUACAAUGAUAUUUCUAACAAAAAUGUAUGUUUUAUAAAUUUUACUAGGGAAUUUCCAGUUUGGCAGUCUCCAAAAUGUGGUGCCCAGGCCAAUUCAGUUCUGUGGAAACUCAACUGACCAGAACCCUCUAGCCAUGGCUGAUAUAGGCUACAAGAACAUUUUGAAGCUUUAAAAACUAACCAUCAUUUGCGUCACAAUCCCAUCCAUUUAAUGACUGCUUAUCUUGCAAAGUCUUUUUCUUCAAGUUGGUCGCUUUACAUAUAAAAGAAAACUUGGUCAUCUUGAGAUGGAAUAUGACGGCAGCGUGCAAUCGCCAAAGGUCUGGGGAAUGACAUGGAAAUGCAUUUUUCACCAAAAUGAGCGAACAGAAAUGAACCAUUUCCCAUUGUCUCGUCGGUUCCAUGAUUUUUGGCUUUCUCACACGGAUCUGC